UGCAGAUUCUGGUUGACAUUUGUGAGG
rnacentral:piRNA from 1 species